UUGCUAGUUACCAUCAUUAAUUGGGGAUCUAGCGAGACUGCCAGUGAUAAACUGGAGGAAGGUGGGGAUGACGUCAAAUCAUCAUGCCCCUUAUGACCUGGGCUACAAACGUGAUACAAUGGCUGGAACAAAGGGAUGCGAAGCAGUGAUGUGGAGCGAAACCCAUAAAAACAGUCUCAGUUCGGAUUGAAGUCUGCAACUCGACUUCAUGAAGUCGGAAUCGCUAGUAAUCGCGGAUCAGAACGCCGCGGUGAAUACGUUCUCGGGGUUU
rnacentral:rRNA from 1 species